rnacentral:lncRNA from 1 species
GUUUAUUGUUUGACCAACAUGCUGAGUCUUUUCCACAUUUUACACAGUUUAAUGUGAAAUCAACAUGGCGGCUAUGUCUUCUGAGCCCAUAACAGAUGGAAUUGCCACCCUCUGUGCUCCUCACAGCCAAUCACUUUAAAGGGAUGGGUGAGGGGAAAGUGAGGGGAGAAGUGGACACACACCGCGAGAUGCAGGCUGGCCUUCAAUGCUAUGGAGGCUUCCCACCUCCUGAAGGAACCAUCUAAACCCCUGCUGCAAGGAUUUCCUGAUGAAACCACACACUGCUGGGAGUGCCAACCAGACAGGGGUCUGGAGUCCAAGGAGUUUGCACAUUGAGAUCCCAAGGUUUUGGAACACCUAAAUAGUUCAUGUCAAACAAAAAUUCAAAGGGUGUCCUGAUCUGUGUGGGUGCCCAUGACAAUCAAUCAGAGUAGACUUGGGGACUGGCCCUUGUGCAGUAGAGGAGCCCAAAAUACCACCAAUAUUCUCACUCAUAUGCUGGGAAGAACCUAGUGUCCUAACCAAAAAGAGUAGAGAUGGUCUGAGGAACACACCCACACACAGCAGUCCUUGCUGUGUAAUAAAUAUGGAGUCACAUUUGUUCACACACAGGGCAGCAAUGGAUGAAAAAUGGAAACUUCACUGGUUCUGAUCACUCCUAACUUGCUGGGUGAUCUUAAUAAGCAAGUUGCCCUUCUCCAUCCUGGUUUUCCUGCCUGUAGACAGGAAAAGUUGUGACAGCUCUGCUUCACAUAGCUGUAACAAGGUGACAAUGCCUCACAUUCUUUGGGGAGAGGCAGUUCGGAAACGAGUGUGCGCACAAUCUGCUCGGUUGAUGCACACAGACAUCCUUCUGUUCAGCUGCCCCUCAAGUGGCUCAGACAUGCCUCACUGUCCUCGGCUACCUGGUCCCAUCUCAUCCUGACAUCCUCACCUGCCUUCCAUCUUGUGAAGGAAUGAGGCUGCUCUACCUGCAGGAUGCUGAAGCCAGGAGGGCCAUCCCUUUAUUGUCACAACUGGUAUCCCAGGGCAGGGCCUCCCCGCACUGGCUAGCCACCAGGAUGAUGCAGACGUUGCACCCCAGAUGUGUCUGCACUCUUAACUACCACCAUUUCAAUCCUUGUUUCUGUUGCCAGAGAUACUGAAACUGGUCUGGCCAUUGCUCCCCUCAGACCUGGGAACAUGACUGAAUGUUUAAGGAUGACAAGAAGAGAGCAGCGAUAGAUAGCAAGGAGGCCUCUGACCAAGGGAAACUGCUGCCAACAGCUACCAAGCCAACUAGCCUUGGAUCACACAACUGCAGCCAUGGUGCUCAUGAUUCUGAUGUCACACCUUCAUGUUGAUGUAUGUAUGAUCACCCAGCAAGUUAGGAGUGAUCAGAACCAAUGUGUUUCCACUUGUAAAUAGGCUGUUUGCUUUUUCCAUCUUACACUCAACUUUCCUGAUGCCUGCAGAACAGGAGCUUUGUUGAUAAGCUUUUAAGAUUCACCCCCUUCACUCCCACCAUCCCCAAAAAAGAAGGCCAAGAGGAUCCUGCUAAUCUGCCAGGUCACGUCUAGUCUUUGGGGAGAGGGACUGAAUUGCUCAAUUGAGAACAUUUCCUCAAAGGAAUCCUCCAAUUUGCCCUCUGCUAACCCAUCUGGAUUCAGCAAAGAUGCAAUGCUCUUGCUGGGGUGCUGAGGCAAUGCCAUGACAUCUUCUUCAAGAGCACCUAACAGUUUAUUAUGGAACCUUAACUCUGUGCCAAUUCUACCUGCAAGCAAGGGGACAGGGAUGGUGCCUGCUCAAGACAAAAAUCAGGGAACCAACAACUUCUGAAAAAGAGGUCUGGCUGCCUUUCCACACCCCAGGAAGGGAGGGGCGGAAACCGCACGUGCCGAAGGGAGCGCCAUGGAACCACUGAGAUGGGAGGAUGGGAGGAAGCCACCCUCAGCCUCAGAGGCCAAGGGGCUGGGGAGAACCCAAACUCAAAGAGAGGAUGUUGUGUGCAUGCUAGGAAAGGCAGGACUCACUAAGGCCAUGUCAAACCAAAUGCUAUCUUUUACUGCUCCUCUAGGCCAGGAUGGAAACACAGUCCACGGUGCCUUGGAUGUGUGUGCCCCUGAGAAGGGAACUGAGUUUCUACUGUUUUAUGGGAUGUUUUUUUAAAAAAGCUAAUCUUUAGUGCCAAGAAAAUAAAAAUCUACCAUACGUUCAUUCACUGAGACCCAGUGCAGAUUCCUGUAAAUGGGGCGGUCUCAGAGGCCACAGGUGAUGGCCCCCGCUGCCAACCAGGCAGGACACUGUCAUGUGGACUCCUGUAAAUUCUCUCGAGGUAAGUAAGCACUCUUCCAACAAGCACCACUUGGGGGUGUGCCCAUGGUGGGGGGACACUGGCCCACACAGGCAUGCACACCCGUGCAUAUAAAGUACAUAGAGAAAUGGUGGAGAUAUUCCCGUGGGCUAUGUUUGCCUGUAGUUUAACACAACUAUGCAUUAUUUUAUUGAUGGCAAGACAAUCACAAGUUAUUUGACAAUAUUAAGUAUUUCUUAUUUCAACACGUUGCAGUACUUUUGAAUUUCCAAAACUUAUCACAAUGCAAGUUCCAACUUGAGAGCAGGAGAAACAAGAAUAUACAUUGAGCACAUGUAUCUCCGUGAGGAUGUGUUUGUGGAAGGUGUAUACACAAGUCUAUCUCUAUAUAUAAUUAUGUACACACAUAUAAAAACUAAACACAUGACAUCUGAAACACGUUCAAACAUUGGUCCUUGCCUUCUGCAAGAGGUGCUCAGUGGGAUCCUGCUUCCUCUCUUCUUCACCUGAAGAUAAAUUCCUUGCUAGAGAUGAGCUCUGGCAUACAGCCUCCUAGGCAGAGGGUGUGUGGCAGGCCCACUGCACAAAUAUCAGUCCUGCCAGAUUCUGCUGCACUUACUGCCUGCCAUUUCAGAUUAAUUUCUGAGAAGUUUCAAAAUUCAUUCCAACGACCUUGUGGAGUUCAGCCCACCAUACCCCAGAUGGUCAUUCAUCCCAUCUAUGACAUGCCCAGCAGCAGCCUGGAGGGAGAGCCAAUGACAGCAGGGAGGGUGGGGUUUACAUUUUGGCCAGACUCACUGCCCAUUGCACCUGGCUCUGUGCAGGCUCAGGGCAGUGAGUCUGAGUCUAUUUGGAAUGCUGGCCAAGUAGGUUAUAUCACUUAGUGGGAAGAGAGAGUUCUCUUCAGAGACUUUGCAGAUUCUCAGGACUAAGCCAUUCUCAGGAAUGAAUCAAAAAUGGAAGAGAUGGCUCUCUGGGGGCAAGCAGCCUUCUGGAGACCCCACCUGAACCACAUCCUCAGGUGACCACAGCGCAGCCACAGUAGCCACAAAGAUAUGUCCACAAAGACUUCAACUGCGCCAUGCCACUGGGGUGAAAACAUAGCAACAAAUCAGCUUUUCCAGAAAGCACUCAACAAUACUGCCCAACAUCACACACUGAGUUUCUUAGACUUGGCCCAGGCAUGUGUACUGACUGCUGGGUGGGCUGGUUAAAAUAUUUUCAGAAGUACACAUGGCACCCCAGUCUAUAAACCACGCACCACGCAGCUGCAAUUGCCAACAGCACCUCGUCCUUCUGAUGGCCUCUUGCUCUGCCAGUCCCUGAGGGCACAGAGAACACAAGGUUGCCUGUACCCUCAACCCCCUUCAAGGCUUUUCAGGGAAAGAGAAGGAGAGGUGGGAGCAGUUCCUCUGGGGGCUGCUGCCGGGCUGCCUAGAGCCCACAGACCUUGGUCUCAGCUCCACACGAGGUUGACGACCCACUCUGGCCAUGGAAAGACAAGAGUCAGAGCUACCUUUUCAGAGGCUGAUGUGUUCAACCAAUGUUUGAUUUAACUGGAGUAGGGCCUAGAGAGUGGGGCCAGAUGGCCCCAGACUGAAGCCUAAUUAAUUUGCUCAGUUAAUUGUUUUAAUUUAUUGGGCUGGGGAUAGGAGGAAGGCAGAGGUGAUGAAUGGUUCAAAGAGAACAGGAAGGAGGAGGUGUGUGGAAAAGGUUCUCUAUAAGUUUACAAAUAUACAAAAACAAAAAGCACAUCUUUCAAAUAAAAAUGACUACAUUUUUAUCUGGCAAAAAAUUGUAUACACAUGAUUUAAAUUUUUUUUAAAUUUUAACAGUUUUUGGCAAUCUUAAUAAAGUACAAUAUAUUACAACCAAACCAAAAAAUAGUUGUUUAAGUAACAGCCGUUAAGAGUGAUGUGAUCCCUGAUGCCCAGCCUCCCUCCCCAUCCCACCCUACUCCUAAAGACAGAGAGAAAAGAAAAAUCCUCCCAUCUUGAUAACUCGGUUCCCUCCCCCCUUAGGAAGCUAGCCAAUAGGAAGCAACACAACAAGCAAGGAGUGUCAUGGGAAGCCACAGGUCGGCUCUGCAUUAGCAGGAGCAGCCGCCCUCGCUGGCCGGGGGCUCCUGGGGUUUGUCCAGCUUGAUGUCGA